ACCGCCGACGGCCCGGACACUUGGACGGUGCGCGCCGGCCCCGAAACGUAACGGAGGAGUCCGCCGCGGGCAGCCGGGCGAGGAGACGACGACGACAGCACCGAGACGUCCAACGGUGGCCUGGCUCGGGCCGUGGCACUACUACCCCACCGUCUGCGUACGCGACCGGACCAGCAUUGUUAUGCGCGCGGGCACCAGGUGCAACUCGCAAAUCCGUCGUCUCCGCGGCCGUACUACGCACGCGUGCACGCGGUGCGUACGUGUUUCGGACGUUUGGAGAAUACGAAUCAACAGAUUACGUAAUCCCCCCCCCCCCCUGGGGACAUGUGCGCGUCGCGGCCGGCCAACACUACUCAGCGGAACGGGACGGAAAAAAAGAAAGAUGUGUGCCCAGAACUCCGUCCGCAGCAUCAGCAGCAGCAGCAGCAACAGCAGCGAUGUCGAAACAAUGCGUGACACCCUGUACGUAUACUAAAUGUAUCCUGAGUGCACUAUAAACUGUCCGGUAUACCUUCAGUAUACGUAACAGGAUGUCACACCGAUCUUCGUGAAGCGCCGUCUCUGGGGAUUGGUUCCGCAGCUUCCGCGGCCGACCGCCAACACCGUAUACCAAUAAUUGUUCCGUGUACGUACCGUGUUGUGACGAUCGUGUACAAUGUAUUUUAUUAGACACGUAUUACAAAAUCAAUAAAAUAAAAAUAAACGAUAAAUCACAUGUUUUUCGAUAUACGUGCUAGGAUUUCGUUUAGAAGUAUUGUUAGUAUAAGUGUUAUAAUUCAUCAGUAUUUUAAAUCAGAAAAAAUGUUUAAUAAACUGUUCAUACUACAUGUUUAAUGAUCGGUAUAGCUUUAAUACACAAAUUAAUGUUUUGAUCGGCAA